ensembl:snRNA U1 spliceosomal RNA
AUACUUACCUAGCAGGGGAGAUACCAUGAUCUCAAAGGUGGUUUUCCCAGGGCGAGGCUUAUCCAUAGCACUCUGGAUGUGCUGGCCCGGCGAUUUCCCAGCGAUUUCCCCAAAUGCAGGAAAUCUGUGGUAUAAUUUGUGGUAAAUUUGUGGUAUAAUAACUGCAUAAU